rnacentral:rRNA from 1 species
GUAGGGGGCAAGCGUUGUCCGGAUUUAUUGGGCGUAAAGAGCGUGUAGGCGGCCCGGCAGGUCCGUUGUGAAAACUCGAGGCUCAACCUCGAGACGUCGAUGGAAACCGUCGGGCUAGAGUCCGGAAGAGGAGAGUGGAAUUCCUGGUGUAGCGGUGAAAUGCGCAGAUAUCAGGAGGAACACCCGUGGCGAAAGCGGCUCUCUGGGACGGUACUGACGCUGAGACGCGAAAGCGUGGGGAGCGAACAGGAUUAGAUACCCUGGUAGUCCACGCCGUAAACGAUGGGUGCUAGGUGUGGGCGGUGUCGACUCCGUCCGUGCCGAAGCUAACGCAUUAAGCACCCCGCCUGGGGAGUACGGCCGCAAGGCUAAA